AGUGAACUCCUGGAGGCAGUCAUCUUGGCACCUCAGGAUACAGCAGAAGAAUCAACAAUAGUCUCAUUGGCAGGAGCAGAGAGGAUAAACCACUGUUCUACUCUUUGAUACCUCAUUCCCUAACAAAGAAGCAGCAGGUUGUGGUUUCUGAGAGCCCAGGCUACGUAGAUGGGAAUGGAAGAAUGAGAAGGUCAGGGGGAGCCAGGGCCAAGGUGGGGACUGUGUCCAGCAUAUGAAGUGCUCUUCUCUGCAGCCAUCCCUACUGCAAGGAGGAGUCUGACUGACUUCAGUAAUCAGCCUUCAAAUGGUGUUACAGUGAACACCUGCAUUUUAAGAAGCAUCUACAAGGAUGAUGGAAUAUUAUUUCCUAAAAGAUCCAUAAAGCCAUCUGCUGUGGAGAAGACCCAUGAAAGAACCUGCAGUGCGAUGGAGCUGUGCCUGUUGUGACUCCAAGAAGAUUCACACGAGGACCUAGAGGAUAAAAUGAGAUGGGACCUGCAUAUCUCCUUUUGGUGCCUUUCCUCUUACAGAAGGACCUUGUCUAUAGAGAGGGAUGGUGACACUCAGGCGUGGACCCACUGCAGUCAGGCAGCAAGUAUAUUGUAUUAGUUUUACCUAUGUUGCUGUGAUAAACUACCCUGACAGAAGCAAUUUAGAGGUGAAAGAGUAAAUUUCGUCUACAGCUCCAGAAGGGAUACAGCCAUCAAGGUAGAGAAGACACAAUGGCAGGAACAUAAAACCACCCAUCACAUUGUACCUGCAACCCAGAGCAGAGAGUGAGAAGGAUGUGGGGCAGGCCUGUAAAACCCAAACGCCCACCCCAGUGACAUCCUGUCUCCCUCAACAGAUGGCAAUGGUACCACAAGGCUAGUUCAGGAAAGAGUAGCCAAGUCCCCAGGGCAUGUGGUGUUGAUAGAAGAUAGUUCAGCCAUCCCUUGUUCCACUCAGUAGAUCCAAAGCUUCUUCAGGUAGGUAUGGGCAUGGUAGGAGCCACUUGGGGCUCAAGUCCUGCUUCCCCAGAAAUAGCCAGUUGUCCCCUAGACUUCCAGAUCCAAGCUCCCUAAGAAAACAGGGUGAGCCCACAUCCCGUCUUGCAACAACCUAACUUAAACAUUUCCCUCACUGCAGUUAGAUGAUUGCUCUAUAAAUAUGUCUCCUGCAAGUGGUUCACAUCCUGAGGGUUAGAGCUCAGCCUUGUCAUCAGAGUGGACAGAGAACAUCUGCAAGGGUUAGCAAGGGUACAAAUUCUGUUUUUUUCAAAAGCCAGGGGCUUGUUUUCCUGGCUUGAAAUUUCUCCUUUUCCAACGUCAAUUAUAACAAAGCAUGUCUGUGGUUAUGGGCUCGCUAUGAAGGGUAAUGCAAUU
rnacentral:lncRNA from 1 species